rnacentral:rRNA from 1 species
GCAUUCACUUUAAAUAGGGUUCCAUCGAAAUCCGUUGAGACGACACCGUAUGAAUUAUGGUUUGGGAAGAAACCUAAGCUGUCGUUUCUAAAAGUUUGGGGAUGCGAUGCUUAUGUCAAGAAACUUCAACCUGAAAAGCUCGAACCCAAGUCGGAAAAAUGCGUCUUCAUAGGAUACCCUAAGGAAACCAUUGGGUAUACCUUCUACCUCAGAUCCGUAGGCAAGAUCUUUGUUGCCAAGAACGGGUCCUUUCUGGAGAAAGAGUUUCUCUCGAAAGAAGUAAGUGGGAGGAAAGUGGAACUUGAUGAAGUACUAUCUCUUGAACCGGAAAGUAGCGCAGCUCAGGAGGAUGUUCCUGUGGUGCCUGCACCGACUAGAGAGGAAGUUAAU